GUCAUUUCCAGAGUUCAAAUAACAUAACCGAUUAUCACGAUCAAUAGCCAUUAAAGAAAAACUAUCCUUCUCACUCCCUCCAUUGUGGUUCAUAAGAAGCAAAAUUUUCCUAACAUAACCUACAUCAUAAUCACUGAACAAAGGUUUCGACGGAAUGUAGUACUGCACAUGAUAAGAUUUGCAAACCUCAGAAACGCGAAAGUCCAGUAAAUUCAAUACCUUAGGCAUAUGAUUCUGUAUUUCCCUGCCUGUCAGUGGAUUCAAAACCUUCAAUUUUCCAUCUGCUGUUUUUAUAACCUGGAUCAACCAUCCUUUACAAGGCGAAUCAAUUGAAUCUCCGUCAAGUGGUUGAAAAAUGUAAACAGUGCUUUCGAUGAGAUAGUAACCAGGCCUUCCUUUAUAAAUGUUACGGUCAUCGAGAGGGUAGGGGAUUUCAACAGGAAAAUGAGGAACUGUUUUGAAAGGAGCAAGUGAUGAACGCCAUGUUGUGCAGACUGAACGGAAGCGAAGAACGUCAAUUUGAGUGUCCAGGCAACUACCGAUCCUCUCGGCGAGUUCUUUCGGAAGAUCAGACCAUGGAACGUACCUUCCACUGCCCACAGUUUGCUGCUCCAUCAGAGCUUGGAUGAUAAAUUAAAGCCCUAGUAUUGCUGCUAU
rnacentral:misc_RNA from 1 species